rnacentral:antisense_RNA from 1 species
UUCAAACUUGUAUUAUUUCUGCUUUCGUUUUCUGGAAUACUUGUAAUAAUAACAGACUUAGCAAUAUCAACACGUUCUGUAAGUGACUUUGAUGGAAGGACGUUGACUAAUAAAGCCUGUGAAUCACUUGACAUAAUGUUGAAUACCUGAACAUUACUUGCUUGCGGGAAUAUAAAAGAGUUGAGAGGAGUUCGAGAUUUUAAAGACUUCUCUGAUUGACCGGUAAGAGGUUUCAUAGAUUUAACUAGUUGUGAUUCGCUAGUUCUAUUAGUAGAUAAGGGAACAACUCGACUCAAUGAGGUUCUGGUUUCAUUGACAAGAGCUUGAUUUAGAGAUUUUGAUCUAGUUUCUUCUCCAGUGUUACCUAAUACGACUGGACCUAAUCCCGUAGACCCUAGUCCACGCUCACCUCUAUCGGUUUCAUCAAGUUGAUCAACUAAGCUAAAUGAGACAGGUUUACCAUCGUAACCAGUAAGAGAGACGUAUCUUUGCCCAAUUUUUAAUUCAUAAUCAUAAUCUUUAAUAUUGUCGAAAGGAAUUCUUAAUUCGCCUCUAAAACCAGCAUCAAAUAUCCCGCCAGGAACAGCCAAUCUAAGUGGACUUUUAGAAAUAGAAGAUCUUCCAACAAUAGUAUAACUAGAAGGUUCAUUAUAAUCAUCAUAAGCAGCAAUCUUAAACCAGUCCUAACAAAACCAGUUUCUCCUGCUUUAAUAAUCUGAUCUUCGAUGAUGAAUAAAUCUAACCCCGAGUCCCCUUUAUAAUGAAUAGUGUGAUUGCUAUAAAGCUGUUGAGCAAUAAUAGUUAGUGGUAAAAUAAGAAAACGCAUCUUAUGCCUUAAAUAAAGAAGCAAGUAUAUACUAAAAAACGAGGAAUGUAAUAAAGAUUUUAUUGCACGUAAAAAAAAUCUAAGUGUUUGAAGU